rnacentral:rRNA from 1 species
CAGCCGCCGCGGUAAAACGGAGGGGGCUAGCGUUGUUCGGAAUUACUGGGCGUAAAGCGCACGUAGGCGGACUGGAAAGUCAGAGGUGAAAUCCCAGGGCUCAACCUUGGAACUGCCUUUGAAACUAUCAGUCUGGAGUUCGAGAGAGGUGAGUGGAAUUCCGAGUGUAGAGGUGAAAUUCGUAGAUAUUCGGAGGAACACCAGUGGCGGAGGCGGCUCACUGGCUCGAUACUGACGCUGAGGUGCGAAAGCGUGGGGAGCAAACAGGAUUAGAUACCCGUGUAGUCCCUGUCUCUUAUAC